GAUGCCAGGGGUUAAAGGUCAAAAAGCCGUUCAUGCUUGCAUGAUAAGGCUUUUGACUUUGAACCCCGUUAAACAUGAGGAAGCAGCGAUUUGCACAGCAAAUCAGCGGAUUCCGAAUGGUUUGCAGGGUUGCGGGAGCAG
rnacentral:sRNA from 1 species